UAAUCAUAUAUUCUUUUUGGUGUCUCUUAUGGAGAAGAAUAGGGAAUCAGGUGCAAAUCCUGGACGGACCCACCGCUGUAAAUAGUUGUGAUGACUGUACAAUGCCACUGAGAAAUUGGGAAGGCACAGAAGUCGGUUAAAACUAUGAGUCAGAAGACCUGCCAAUAAAGAUACGUAAUG
rnacentral:ncRNA from 2 species